GUAGUUAGCCGGGGCUUCCUCCUUGGCUACCGUCACUUUCUUCGUCACCAAGGACAGAGGUUUACAACCCGAAGGCCUUCUUCCCUCACGCGGCGUUGCUGGGUCAGGCUUUCGCCCAUUGCCCAAUAUUCCCCACUGCUGCCUCCCGUAGGAGUCUGGACCGUGUCUCAGUUCCAGUGUGGCCGAUCAGCCUCUCAGCUCGGCUACCCAUCGUUGACUAGGUGGGCCGUUACCCCGCCUACUAUCUAAUGGGACGCGAGCCCCUCCCUCUGCGGAUUGCUCCUUUGACCUCAUCCCGAUGCCGGGUCGUGGUCUUAUGCGGUAUUAGCACUUGUUUCCAGGUGUUAUCCCCCUCAGAAGGUCAGGUUGCUCACGCGUUACUCACCCGUUCGCCACUAAGCUAUAUCCGAAAACAUAGCUCCGUUCGACUUGCAUGUGUUAGGCACGCCGCCAGCGUUCGUCCUGAGCCAGGAUCAAACUCUGA
rnacentral:rRNA from 1 species